UACGGAGGGGGCUAGCGUUGUUCGGAAUUACUGGGCGUAAAGCGCGCGCAGGCGGUUUCUUAAGUCUGAUGUGAAAGCCCACGGCUCAACCGUGGAGGGUCAUUGGAAACUGGGAGACUUGAGUGCAGAAGAGAAGAGCGGAAUUCCACGUGUAGCGGUGAAAUGCGUAGAGAUGUGGAGGAACACCAGUGGCGAAGGCGGCUCUUUGGUCUGUAACUGACGCUGAGGCGCGAAAGCGUGGGGAGCGAACAGG
rnacentral:rRNA from 1 species